rnacentral:rRNA from 1 species
AUUGAACGCUGGCGGCAUGCCUUACACAUGCAAGUCGAACGGUAACAGGUCUUCGGAUGCUGACGAGUGGCGCACGGGUGAGUAAUACAUCGGAACGUGCCCGAUCGUGGGGGAUAACGAGGCGAAAGCUUUGCUAAUACCGCAUACGAUCUACGGAUGAAAGCGGGGGAUCUUCGGACCUCGCGCGGACGGAGCGGCCGAUGGCAGAUUAGGUAGUUGGUGGGAUAAAAGCUUACCAAGCCGACGAUCUGUAGCUGGUCUGAGAGGAUGAUCAGCCACACUGGGACUGAGACACGGCCCAGACUCCUACGGGAGGCAGCAGUGGGGAAUUUUGGACAAUGGGCGAAAGCCUGAUCCAGCCAUGCCGCGUGCAGGAUGAAGGCCUUCGGGUUGUAAACUGCUUUUGUACGGAACGAAAAGCCUCUUGCUAAUAAAGAGGGGUCAUGACGGUACCGUAAGAAUAAGCACCGGCUAACUACGUG